rnacentral:rRNA from 1 species
AGAGUUUGAUCCUGGCUCAGGAUUAACGCUGGCGGUGUGUCUAAUACAUGCAAGUCGAGCGAGGCUUUAAAGCCGAGCGGCGGACGAGCGAGUAACACGUAUGAACCUACCCCGAACUCAGGGAUAACAUCUAGAAAUAGGUGCUAAUACCGGAUGGUCUGUUGUGCAUUAGUACAAUAGUAAAGCUUUUGCGGUUUGGGAGGGGCAUGCGGCCUAUCAGCUUGUUGGUGAGGUAAAGGCUUACCAAGGCUAUGACGGGUAGCUGGUUUGAGAGGACGACCAGUCGCGAUGGGACUGAGACACGGCCCAUACUCCUACGGGAGGCAGCAGUAAGGAAUCUUUCGCAAUGGACGAAAGUCUGACGAAGCAACACCGCGUGAUUGAUGAAGCCCCUUGGGGUGUAAAGAUCUUUUCUGGGGGAAGAACUAUGACGGUACCCUAGGAAUAAGCACCGGCUAACUCCGUGCCAGCAGCCGCGGUAAUACGGAGGGUGCAAGCGUUAUCCGGAAUCAUUGGGCGUAAAGCGUUCGUAGGCGGUUUAUUAAGUUAAGUGUUAAAUUUUGCAGCUCAACUGUAAAACUAUAUUUAAAACUAAUAGACUAGAGAUCUGCAGAGGUACGUGGAAUUCUGUAUGUAGGGGUAAAAUCCGUAGAUAUACAGAGGAACACCAAAAGCGAAGGCAACGUACUGGGCAGUUUCUGACGCUCAGGAACGAAAGCGUGGGUAGCGAACGGGAUUAGAUACCCCGGUAGUCCACGCCGUAAACGAUGGAUACUAGGUGUUGAGGGACUCGACCCCCUCAGUGCCGACGCUAACGCAUUAAGUAUCCCGCCUGGGGAGUACGGUCGCAAGAUUAAAACUCAAAGGAAUAGACGGGGACCCACACAAGCGGUGGAGCAUGUGGUUUAAUUCGACGAUAAGCGAGGAACCUUACCUGGACUUGACAUCCCGGAAAUUUCACAGAAAUGUGAAAGUGCCGCAAGGAAUCCGGUGACAGGUGCUGCAUGGUUGUCGUCAGCUCGUGCCUUGAGGUGUUCGGUUAAGUCCGUAAACGAGCGCAACCCUUGUCAUGUGUUGUAUUUCUCACAUGAGACUGCCGGCUUUAAGUCGGAGGAAGGUAAGGAUGACGUCAAAUCAGCAUGGCCCUUAUGUCCAGGGCUACACACGUGCUACAAUGGCCAGUACAAUGGGCAGCAAACCCGCAAGGGGGAGCAAAUCCUCUAAAACUGGUCUUAGUUCGAAUUGAGGGCUGCAACUCGCCCUCAUGAAGUUGGAAUCGCUAGUAACCGCGGAUCAGCAAUGGCGCGGUGAAUAUGUUCCUGGGUCUUGUACUCACCGCCCGUCACGUCAUGAAAGAUGGGGGCGCCCGAAGUACCGUUAUUUUUCGGAAGCGGUCCUAAGGUGAAACCAUUGAUUGGGACGAAGUCGUAACAAGGUA